AUGCGAGCAAGUGUCUGUAGACUCGUGACUGCUGGCACCAUUUACUGGUUACCAUACACGCAGACACCAAACCGAACUACAAACAAACAAACGAGCCGUGUUAAGCGGUUCUCAAUAAGUUCAAUAUUAAAAAUAGACAUAACCUUCCAAGAAGACUCACAGUCUCCCGUUUACACAGCCGAUACACCAAGAGACUCACUCUUCAACUCACACCGCAUUAAUGUUUUUCUGUUCAUGUCUCACGACACAUUUAAACGGACGCGUCACUUACGCCACCUGAUCCAAAUGAUCAGUGCCAAUGAGCAGGCCUUAAAUGUACACUGCCCAUCUCAACCACCUACCCGCUACAUAUAUAUCAAAUAUGUGUGCGUAUGUUUAUUUGUGUCUGUAAUAGAAUUAUUGCUAAUAUUGCUAUGGUGUUGUUCUUGUAGAGAGCACUGUUUCUUCACUGCCUGUGCCCUUGCUGUCAUCAUUUCCUGGUACCCAAACAGAUCCUCAGUCAGAUACAGGAACUACGUGUAUGUCACCUCUGCCUAUGCUGGCCUCGCCUGCGACCCGUACGCGACCUGUGAAGACUGCUGGCAGUGUGUUUGUACUGGACCACAAAUGCCGAGCCCAUUGACAACUUGCUUAAUAAACACCAUAGGAAGAAAAAUUCCUCUACUGAUCCAAACAGCAUGCUCCAUCCGACCACAAAACUACACGUCACAGUAUGUCAAGCACUGGGCCAAACAGCUGAUCACCAGUUCAUCAUUAAACAACUCCAGAGAAGCAUCUUUAAAGCAUGUAGUAAAACACCCAGAGCACCUGUGGUUACAGUGAAGCCUGUGGAUGUAAACCCCGCAGCACCUGCUCUGACCACACUCCUAACUCACGAGACCAUUGAGAGAAUUGUAUUAUGGAAAGGCAGCCGAGAAAGAAACAAACAAAGACUUGUCUUGCUCGUGGACAGCCAAAGAUGUUUCCUCUAUCCACGUUUUUGUAAUCAGCAAGGCCCUGUCAGGUUCUUCUACUGUUACACAAAGGUUUUUAAUGCUUACAGUGAUUAAGGACUAGCAAACCCCAGAAUGCCAUUCCAAGACUUUAUGGAAAUGGAGCUCUGUAAGAGUGAAUUCGAGGACACAAAGAAACGGGUGGAAGAGAGAGGACAGCAAAAACGUAAAAGGCCUGAAGCUGAACAUGUCGGUCACUUGUGCAGAUUUUGUGAAAUGGAACUGAAGCAGGGCCCAAACAGUCCUCACGUACACACAGGCUUUCCUGUGAAAUAUGUUCAGUGCCCUGCUAAAGUCUUUUCCAUUUACCAACAUCAGGGCACUGAGAAAGAGAUGACCUGGAAAGAGUCUAAAGAGUCUGCAUUUUACAAGAAAAAAAGGGCAGAAAAAAAAGAAAUAAAUGAUUAUUUUACCCCUUAGUAAUAUUUAAC
ensembl:lncRNA